rnacentral:misc_RNA from 1 species
GCAACUAAUUGUCUAGUGAAAAGAAAAAUUCCUACAGUCGCUUCUGCAUUGCCUGUAAACAGAAAAAAGAAUUUAUAUCUGCUGCAACACGCAGCUCUAAACUGAACUAUCCAAAGAACAAAUGUUGUGCCACUUUAAUACUUUUACAUGUUAAAUUAGAACAUUGACAUGGCCAAACUUCCUAAUACAAUUGGUGAUUAAAUAAUUGAAUGCACACCAAUUGCGUGGAACUGGAUUCUAACAUUAUCAUGGGUGCAAAUAACUACAUGAUGCCCCCUUCUUGCAGUACCCGUUUUCGUAAAAUUUACAUACUCGCUGCCCUUUACCCUGAGGCUUGAAAGAACCUCCUCCUCCAUUUCCGUAACCAUAUGUUGGCUGCCUGUUCCAUGAUGACCUAUCCCUACCAAAACCUGAAUCUCGACCUUGAAAAUAGUUAUUAAGGUUGUCUCUUGGACCAGAAUAUCUGUUGUCACCAUUUCUUAGUUGGUUUCCCCAACUGCCUACAUUACCUGUAGAAAUGGCUGGAUUUGAAUUAGUUUGUUGCUGAGCUGAUCCAUGACCAGUCCCCCAUGCCAUGUUCAUAUUUCCUUGAGGUGCUCCCCUAUCCAAGUUUGCAGUUCCUUUUACAGUUCCCCAGCUAGCAUCUGCUGUUGAAGAUUCAGGAUGCCGUGUGUCAGAACCAGCUUCCAAUUGGCUAACCGCUGAUGGAGUAGGACUCCGGGUGUCCGAACCUGCUUCACCUUGGUUAACGGUUGAAGAUGCCAGAGGUUCUAUUUCUGAACAUUGGUUAACUGAAACGUCACUGCGCUUUGCAUCUCCCUCUACUUCAGCACUUGAAGAGGAGUGCCCACUAAAGCUUUUUUGAGGAUCAAGAAAAUUAGUCUGCCAUAACCCAAGUGACUCC